CCGGCUAAUUUCGUGCCAGCANCCGCGNUAAUACGAAGGGGGCUAGCGUUGUUCGGAAUCAUUGGGCGUAAAGGGCGCGUAGGCGNCCGAUCAAGUCAGAGGUGAAAGCCCAAGGCUCAACCUUGGAAUUGCCUUUGAUACUGUUCGGUUCGAGACCGGAAGAGGUUAGUGGAACUGCGAGUGUAGAGGUGAAAUUCGUAGAUAUUCGCAAGAACACCAGUGGCGAAGGCGGCUAACUGGUCCGGUUCUGACGCUGAGGCGCGAAAGCGUGGGGAGCAAACAGGAUUAGAUACCCUGGUAGUCCACGCCGUAAACGAUGGAUGCUAGCCGUUGGCAGGCUUGCCUGUCAGUGGCGCAGCUAACGCUUUAAGCAUCCCACCUGG
rnacentral:rRNA from 1 species